GUGAACGUAGUAUAGUGGUUAUUAUUCGUGGUUGUGGUCCGCGAGACGAGGGUUCGAUUCCCUCCUUUCACC
rnacentral:tRNA from 1 species